CACUAUCACCAACAGACAGAAGUGGUGUUGCAAGCAGAGAACAGGGAAUAGAGAGAUUUGAGUAUCAUCAAUUAACAGUAAAGGGCUCCACGACGGAUCCUGACCCACUUGGCAAGGACUAGCCCUUUUUAAGUGUGGUGGGUUUGGAAAUGGAUAUUGAUAAUCCAAGGAGUACAUUUAACAAGUGUCCAGAUAGUCUUGGAAAUUUUGAGGAUGUGAAAUAAUCCUCUUUAUUUGAGCAGUUGUAAAGUAACAUGAUAUUGCUUGUGUCUUUUAGAAUUCAGAUAUUCCUAUACUCUUCAGUCUACAACGUGUUCUGCUCAUUCUUGGCCUUUUCUUCACUGGCCUCUUGCCCUUUGUGCCCAUUCGAGAACAGUUUUUUGAAAUCCCAAUGCCUUCUAUCAUACUGAAAACUUUAAAAGAUCAAGCUGAACGUUAGUGCAGCAGUCAUUAGGAAAUAUUGGUAAGAGAAACAAUUUGGUCAGUACCCUUGUAUUCAGCAUUUAUGUUUCACGCUUGUUUUCCAAUUUGAGUUUCUUCGUGAUGAGCAUGUUUAUUUUAUCUAUUCCCAAUUAUAUUUAUGGGCAGUCUUUGUAGCUGUUUCUCAGACAAAACAGAAAUCACUUCUUGACUACAAAGAAACCAUUUUCAUUUGCUGGAUUAAAGUGAUUCCUGACCAUUUCUUCCUAAAAAGUACUUAGGCUUCCUCUGGCUUGGCAUGGACUGUUGUCCUCUCUAGCUUAUCUCCAUGUGUUCCUUUUAGAAGCAGGUAUUACUGAAAUACAGACAAAUGAACAUAUGUCAUAGAAUUAAUCUUUUCUCUAAAAAGUAAUUGUGGAUUAAGACAAGGUAGUAUAUUCUGUGUGUGUGUUUUUUUUUUAAUGGAUGACAGUGGGUACUUCCUAA